UACAGAGGGUGCGAGCGUUAAUCGGAAUUACUGGGCGUAAAGCGCACGUAGGUGGCGACGUAAGUCGGGUGUGAAAGCCCCGGGCUCAACCUGGGAAUUGCAUUCGAGACUGUGUCGCUGGAGUACGGAAGAGGAAGGCGGAAUUCCCGGUGUAGCGGUGAAAUGCGUAGAUAUCAGGAGGAACACCGGUGGCGAAGGCGGCUUUCUGGACAGAUACCGACGCUGAGGCACGAAAGCUAGGGGAGCAAACAGG
rnacentral:rRNA from 1 species